rfam:Mus musculus chromosome 17, GRC primary reference assembly.
GGAGAUAUGGCUCAGAGGUUAAGAGCACUGACAGCUCUUUCAGAGGUCCUGAGUUCAAUUCCCAGCAUCCACA